GUCGUGAGAGGUUGGGUUAAGUCCCGCAACGAGCGCAACCUCCGUUCUUAGUUACCAGCGCGUAAUGGCGGGGACUCUAGGAAGACUGCCGGUGCCAAACCGGAGGAAGGUGGGGACGACGUCAAGUCAUCAUGGUCCUUACGUCUAGGGCUACACACGUGCUACAAUGGGUCGGACAGUGGGGGCCGAGGCAGCAAUGCCAAGGCAAUCCCAAAACCGAUCCUCAGUUCGGAUUGUCGUCUGCAACUCGACGGCAUGAAGCUGGAAUCGCUAGUAAUCGUGGAUCAGCAUCGCCACGGUGAAUACGUUCCCGGGCCUUGUACACACCGCCCGUCACGCCAUGGAAGCUGCGAGCGCCCGAAGUCGGUGCCGCGGGCCUAAGCGGGCCAAGCCGAGCGUAGUGACUGGAGUGACGUGGGCGAAGUCGUAACAAGGGAGCCGUAGGGGAACCUGCGGCUGGUUCACCUCCUGAACGGAGAGAACCGAGUAGACCUGGUGACACCACUGGUAACACAAGUCGAAAGAUUUCGAUGAUCUCGCUUCUCUCGCAUCAUCAACAUUGUUUACCUCGCGUUUCUAUCGAGCUCGUCAGGUUUGGAAGCCUUCCGAGCGCUUUUGGGCAUUCGGGUGUGAGCCAAGAAAUCGCACUCGUCGGAGCAGCGCUGUUUGCCAUCGUAAGGUAGUAGUGAUCGUGGGAUUCGAUGCUCGUGAAACCCGCCCAGGGUUUCAUAGAGCGUCAUCAAGAAUCAACACAGAUUCAAUUUCGUCGCGCUUCGCAUCGGUAUAACAACCAGUGUGAGGCGAGCAGACUGAUUGAUUCAUUCGUUAGAUUGCGCGUUGUUUUGUUGUUUUGCUUUGUGAGACAGAGAUCUGAUCAAGCGAAAGAAGGUAUGUGGGGGAUGCCUGGGCACGCGGAGGCGAUGAAGGCCGUGGUAAGCUGCGAUAAGCCAGGGGGAGCGGCACACACGCAUUGAUCCCUGGAUGG
rnacentral:sRNA from 1 species